UAGCUCCAACUAUAAAUCAUUCUCGGUUGAUGCGACGACAUUUCAUGCUACAACUACUGUCACAUCUGGUCUCAUUAAUGACAUGGAGGUACAAGAUGUGGUCUUGAAUAACACCCAAGAAACAAAG